rnacentral:rRNA from 1 species
UACCAGCACCCCGAGUGGUCGGGACGAUUAUUGGGCCUAAAGGCAUCCGUAGCCGGUUCUGCAAGUCCCCCGUUAAAUCCAGCUGCUCAAACAGGAUGGGCCGCCGGAGGAUACUACAGAGCUAGGAGGCAGGAGGAGGCAAGCGGUACUCAGUGGGUAGGGGUAAAAUCCGUUGAUCCAUUGAAGACCACCAGUGGCGAAGGCGGCUUGCCAGAAGUGCGCUCGACGGUGAGGGAUGAAAGCUGGGGGAGCAAACGGGGAUU